UGGGGAAUAUUGGACAAUGGGGGCAACCCUGAUCCAGCAAUGCCGCGUGUGUGAAGAAGGUCUUCGGAUUGUAAAGCACUUUCGACGGGGACGAUGAUGACGGUACCCGUAGAAGAAGCCCCGGCUAACUUCGUGCCAGCAGCCGCGGUAAUACGAAGGGGGCUAGCGUUGCUCGGAAUGACUGGGCGUAAAGGGCGUGUAGGCGGUUUACACAGUCAGAUGUGAAAUCCCCGGGCUUAACCUGGGAGCUGCAUUUGAUACGUGUAGACUAGAGUGUGAGAGAGGGUUGUGGAAUUCCCAGUGUAGAGGUGAAAUUCGUAGAUAUUGGGAAGAACACCGGUGGCGAAGGCGGCAACCUGGCUCAUGACUGACGCUGAGGCGCGAAAGCGUGGGGAGCAAACAGGAUUAGAUACCCUGGUAGUCCACGCUGUAAACGAUGUGUGCUAGAUGUUGGGUAACUUUGUUAUUCAGUGUCGCAGUUAACGCGUUAAGCACACCGCCUGGGGAGUACGGGCCGCAAGGUUGAAAC
rnacentral:rRNA from 1 species